rnacentral:rRNA from 1 species
GUAGGGAAUAUUGCACAAUGGAGGAAACUCUGAUGCAGCGACGCCGCGUGAGUGAUGAAGGCCUUCGGGUCGUAAAGCUCUGUCGCAGGGGAAUAACACAAUGAAGGUACCCUGUAAGAAAGGAUCGGCUAACUUCGUGCCAGCAGCCGCGGUAAGACGAGGGAUCCUAGCGUUGCUCGGAAUCAUUGGGCGUAAAGCGGAUGCAGGUGGCUAUGUAAGUCAGAUGUGAAAGCCUGGGGCUCAACCCCAGAAGUGCAUUUGAUACUGCGUAGCUUGAGUGUCGGAGAGGUUACUAGAAUUGUUGGUGUAGUGGUGAAAUACGUAGAUAUCAACAGGAAUACCGGAGGCGAAGGCGGGUAACUGGCCGAACACUGACACUGAGAUCCGAAAGCGUGGGGAUCAAACAGGAUUAGAUACCCGUGUAGUCC